GUGUGUGGUAGUGUGGCCGAGCGGUCUAAGGCGCUGGAUUUAGGCUCCAGUCUCUUCGGGGGCGUGGGUUCGAAUCCCACCACUGCCAGUGGUACGUUUUAGCACAACAAGGAUCCUGAAGUACUAACACUUUCUAACUAGUAAAAUAAUUAAAUCUUCCUUUCCCAGGAUUCUCCCGGAUUACACAGCAUCAGUUCCUCUGAAUUCUGCAUUCGUAAU
rnacentral:tRNA from 1 species